UAUAGAAUUACCAGGGCAGAUUUUAGGAGUGGGGGUUGAUUUUUUAUGUCGCGUGUUAUUUACUGCGGAUCUCUAUAAGUUGAAAAUAACUGCAAUUUUGACCUAUAAACGCCAUGGGACCAUAUAUUUUUUUCAGUAUUUUUUGUUAGGGCUUAGAACGAAGUUUGAAAUGAUGCUAAGGAUUUUUCUGAAAUUGUCAUAGUAAAGUACUGAGAGGGCCUAAGGUUUGUAUAGAGUUCUAUGGGAAAAUAAUUAGUAGUCUUUUCCCUAUAGAAACCCCAUUUUUGGAAUGUCAUGUGACUUAAUUGAUAAAUAUAGGUAAUUUAUUUUAACCAAUCAAUGAGUCUAAGUAAAUUGAACAAUAUGGCAGACAUUUUUGGGAAAUUAAAAGAGAAACUGAAUUCUAGAAGUGAAAAAGAGGGGGAGUGCAGAUAUUGGAGAGGGGGGACUGAUAGAUAUGGAUAUGGGGUCAUGCGGGAGCCUUGGCCAGAGGAGGGUAGUACUGUUGAGAAGGUGCACCGGGUUGCUCUUAUGGUAGAGAAGAGGCUGACCAAGUCCCAGUUUGCAGCUGCAGGCCUGGAGGUCAGUCAUCUCUGCCAUAAGAAGCUGUGUAUCAACCCGGUGCACCUUACUACGGAAAACCAUGCCACGAACCAAGAACGCAUGCACUGUGCUAACCAGGGAUUUUGUUGUGGGGCCCACCACCCAAAGUGUAUUUUUUAAUGGUAUGGUCAACCUGGCCACCAGUGGGGAUGGGGGCACCAACCCCUGCACAGAGACCUCGGAUGGAGCUGCCCGGACCGUAAUUAGAAGAAUGAGCUGCACUGUGCGCCCGACCAGGAAAGUUUCUUGUGAAAGUGACAUUACGAGGGAGGGAGCGUCGCAGAGUUCUAUUGAAGCUUUCGACCUUUUGUGAAUUGGUAUUUUUGAUUGUCUUGUCCAAGACAGCUGGAGACAACCUCUUUGAGAUGCAGGCAUGGAGCCUUGCUUCGUUCUCGACGGAAGACGCAGACCGUCCUUGUAGAGGGAAUCUGCAGCUCGACCGGCAGAGCUGUCCGGGUCAGUGGUUACCUCCCUUACUUCAAGGCCAUCUUUGCAGAGGAUUUCGCCAUCCCCUCCCGAGCCCAAGUGAACUCAUCCCCAAUGGUAUGGGACAUUGGUAGAUUUGCCCCACAC